AUCAAGCAGAAAGGAAAAAGGAAAUCAGUGCAACACCAAAUUUUCAGGAUGUUACCCACUAAAUUUGCAUGAUGUUAUAGUAUAAAUCAGUAUAGUAUGAAAAAGGAAACCAAACAAUCAGUGUAGUAUAAAUUCAAGAAACCAAACAUUUUAGGGAAACUAAGACCAAUCAGUCUUAGUUUGGUCCUGCUUCUGCGUCCUUUCGAUUUCCCAUUUAGCUAACUUCUUUUGUAACCCCCACUCUUUCGAGCUUCAUAAAAAAGGAAAAUAUGCAAAAAUUGAUUUCUAAGAUACCAAACUAAGACGAAUUCAGAAAUGGGAUAUGAAACACUAACCUUAGUGCAACGCUCUGCCGGAAAAAGAUAUAGAAAACUGAGUUUUGACGGGCUCAGUCGUGUGGGCGUGACUGCGUGAGUCAUGAGGCAGAGAACUGGUGAGGGCUUCACUGCUUCAGCCGUGUGGCCGGUGGCGGACUGGCAGAGAACUGGGUGAGGACUGUGGUAAGGGCUUGACUGACUGACUGAGCCUCAAUGUUUUGUUACUGAAGGACUUUUCCGCCUUAGAAAUGAAGGACUCUAUACUUCAUGCCUGAUGCCACUGAGGGCUUGAGCACUGAGGGCUUGAGCUUAACUUGUCACUGAGGGCUUGAGCUUAACUGAGGAGUGAGGAGUCCUGCAGGUAUACUAGUAAAGGAAAGGAAAGGAAAGGAGUUAGUGAGGCUGUGAGGAGGCGGACAGACUAAUGAAAAUGAAACCCUAGUAUUACUAGACUAAAGGGUAUACUAGUAAAUUAGUAAACCCUUAUUGGGUUAUCGGUUUACCCAAUAACAGAUUUGAUAAACCGAGCCCGAACCGAUAACCCAAUAAGAAAUUUUUUUUAACCCGUUACCGAACCAUUAGCCCAAUAACCCAAUACCGAUAACCCAAUAAGUAAUUAACGGUUCGGGUUAUCGGUUUUACCCGAUAUAUGCCCACCCCUAAGUAAUAUUGUUGACUGCAUUAACUCCAUACAUAUAGUUAAAGGAGCUUGUAAUCAAAGUUACUUCUAAUCCAACACUUAUGUGUUGUUGUAAUGAAAUAUCUUGACGAAAAAAAAGGUUGUUGUACCUUUUACAUUAUAGUUUAUGUCAGAUUUUUGUUAGUUUUUAGUAAGACAAAUGUUGCUUUAACCCGCUCAUAUUAUAUAUGUAUUUCUUUGUAAUUUCUAAUUUCAUCUUAAAUGUGUAGAAAAAUGCAGGUGAUCCAAUUGGAAAUGUUGGCCACAAGUCCAAUUUAAUCUAUUGAAGUGAAUGAUGAAGACUUUUUCAAUAAUUGUGAUAUUUAUUUUCAUCUAUGUGAAUACAUUCGGUUUUUUAUAGUUUGUUGCUAGUUCACAUCUUGAAACAAAGCUUUAUUAAUGUGUAGUACAUGAAAUAUAUUUCUGCUUUGAAGUUCAGUGGAAUUGUUGUUUUUUUCUUUUGGUUAUUUGUUGUGUAAUUUAAUGCUUG
rnacentral:lncRNA from 1 species